AAUUGACGGGGACCCGCACAAGCGGUGGAGCAUGUGGUUUAAUUCGAAGCAACGCGAAGAACCUUACCAAAUCUUGACAUCCUUUGACAACUCUAGAGAUAGAGCCUUCCCCUUCGGGGGACAAAGUGACAGGUGGUGCAUGGUUGUCGUCAGCUCGUGUCGUGAGAUGUUGGGUUAAGUCCCGCAACGAGCGCAACCCUUAAGCUUAGUUGCCAUCAUUAAGUUGGGCACUCUAAGUUGACUGCCGGUGACAAACCGGAGGAAGGUGGGGAUGACGUCAAAUCAUCAUGCCCCUUAUGAUUUGGGCUACACACGUGC
rnacentral:rRNA from 1 species